CGGCUCUAGAUUCGCGUGAGAUAGU
rnacentral:piRNA from 1 species